GCACGUCCCCGCCUCAGUUUCCCCCUCGAGCACACACGCAGGAGCCGGAUGUUCGCGGUGGGCGGUGCGCGGCGGGGUUGGACUGAGCGUGCGCACUGGGGGGCGUGGGGGCUGUCUUAGAACCUGCGGGGGUCUCGGGUUCUGCCGCCGGCCCAGGGGAGGCAUCGUGGUGACGUAGGCUCCGGACGUAGCAAGGACCUGGGUCCUGGCACCCGCGCGGCUCUGCCUCUUCCAGCCAGUCUCUUUCCCUCUCUGGGCCUUUGUGCUGCGUGGUGUCCAAAUGUUAAGAAGCCCUGCCCCAUGCCCGGGCUACAUAUACAUCGAACCCAAGCUGUAAAUGCUCUUGAGUAGAAGCAACUUAAACUAGCCUUCGGGGGCAAGUAAUAGAGAUGGCUUUCGGCAGAGUUGGGAAAUCAACUAAAUGCAUUGUAGGGCCUUUCCAACAUUGACAUCUGUGGCCAUUAGUUGCAGUUCAAAGCCUCACUGAGCCCUCAAACCAGCUACAGCGGGUAGCCUGGCAGGGAACUGGCAGCUGUGAGGUGCUCCUCAUCCGGCUCCCUGCAGGAUUCUUUUUGGUAGGAGCCUGCAGGCGUCCGAGUGGUAGCUCCACCCAUCUCCGGUCUCCCCAGCAAGCAUCCCUUCCAGUGCUAGCUUGAGAAGAGGAAAAGCUUGCCACCUGCUGUCAGACCGGCGCUUGUGUGGAGCCAGGGGCUGUAGGUACCCCGGCUGAGUAGCCUCUCAGAUGUCCAUGGUCCUGGCUGCACGCCAGCGUGGGGGCAGGCAGGCGGACGCUCAAGAAAAACGGAGGCACCGAUAUGAGUAGUAAUUGAGAACGAGGGUUCAUGAUCCUCAUCUGAUUUCAAUCCCUGCUCCUCCACCCAAAAUGUGUGGCCUUGAAGGAGUUAACCAAUUUAAAUUUUAGUUUCCUCAGUGGAAGAUAAUAAAUCCGCCUACCUCAUAAAGGUUUGGUGAGAAUUAACUCAGGUGAUGCAUGUGAAGUCCUCAGCGCAAUACCUGGCGCUUCCUAAGUGCUGAAUCGGUUAGCCGUGAUCAUCUCACAGUGGCAUGAGCAUUGCUCCAAGUAGAUUUGAGCCCUCCAGAAAUAAGCCAGCUCUAUAUAGGCACAGCAGUUCUGCCCUCGCAGAGCUUCUCGUUCAGAUAAGAGGCCUGAUGGGAAACCAGACUCCUGGGUCCUGUCUCAGUUCUGGAAGGGUGGGGGGCCAGCUUUGAUUUAUGCCUGCUGCCCUGGCAUAAUUACUAAUAUUGCCUCCUUUUUCAGAAGUGCCCUGCUUUGGGCCGGGCGUGGUGGCUCACCCCGGUAAUCCCAGCACUUUGGGAGGCCGACGCAGGUGGACCACCUGAGGUCAGGAAUUCAAGACCAGCCUGGCCAACACGGCGAAACCCCGUCUCUACUAAAAUUACAAACAUGAGCCAGGCCUGGUGGCGCGCGCCUGUAAUCCCAGCUACUCGGGAGGCUGAGGCAGGA
rnacentral:lncRNA from 10 species